AGUGAACGCUGGCGGUAGGCCUAACACAUGCAAGUCGAACGGCAGCACAGUAAGAGCUUGCUCUUACGGGUGGCGAGUGGCGGACGGGUGAGGAAUACAUCGGAAUCUACUUUUUCGUGGGGGAUAACGUAGGGAAACUUACGCUAAUACCGCAUUCGACCUACGGGUGAAAGCAGGGGAUCUUCGGACCUUGCGCGAUUGAAUGAGCCGAUGUCGGAUUAGCUAGUUGGCGGGGUAAAGGCCCACCAAGGCGACGAUCCGUAGCUGGUCUGAGAGGAUGAUCAGCCACACUGGAACUGAGACACGGUCCAGACUCCUACGGGAGGCAGCAGUGGGGAAUAUUGGACAAUGGGCGCAAGCCUGAUCCAGCCAUACCGCGUGGGUGAAGAAGGCCUUCGGGUUGUAAAGCCCUUUUGUUGGGAAAGAAAAGCAGCAGGUUAAUACCCCGCUGUUCUGACGGUACCCAAAGAAUAAGCACCGGCUAACUUCGUG
rnacentral:rRNA from 1 species